rnacentral:rRNA from 1 species
AUGAGCUGUUUUCAGCUUCCGGUGGCCACGUGUGAGAAGUUCCGUCAGAUUAUCUCAGACCAUUGGUGGGGCAGGGAAGAUGGGAAGAAGAAGCUGCACUGGCGGUCCUGGAAGUGGCUCACUACGCCAAAAUCUCUCAGGGGAAUGGGCUUUCGUGAUAUGACACUUUUUAAUCAAGCUAUGCUUGGGAAGCAAGGAUGGCGCUUACUUACAGAACCAGAUUCAUUAUGUGCUCGGGUUCUCAAAGGAAGAUAUUUCCCUCAUGGAGACUUUUGGAAUGCUACAGCUCCUCGGUCCGCAUCAGUUACAUGGCGAAGCAUCCUUUAUGGUCGGGAA